GACCUUGCGCUUUGGGAGCGGCCGAUGUCUGAUUAGCUAGUUGGUGGGGUAAAGGCCUACCAAGGCGACGAUCAGUAGUCGGUCUGAGAGGACGACCAGCCACACUGGGACUGAGACACGGCCCAGACUCCUACGGGAGGCAGCAGUGGGGAAUUUUGGACAAUGGGCGCAAGCCUGAUCCAGCAAUGCCGCGUGAGUGAAGAAGGCCUUCGGGUUGUAAAGCUCUUUCAGUCGAGAAGAAAAAGCUGCAGUGAAUAACUGUAGUUCAUGACGGUAUCGACAGAAGAAGCACCGGCUAACUACGUGCCAGCAGCCGCGGUAAUACGUAGGGUGCGAGCGUUAAUCGGAAUUACUGGGCGUAAAGGGUGCGCAGGCGGCUUUGUAAGUCAGAUGUGAAAUCCCCGGGCUUAACCUGGGAAUUGCGUUUGAAACUACAAAGCU
rnacentral:rRNA from 1 species